CCUACGGGUGGCAGCAGUAGGGAAUAUUGCUCAAUGGGGGGAACCCUGAAGCAGCAACGCCGCGUGGAGGAUGAAGGUUUUCGGAUUGUAAACUCCUUUUGUUAGAGAAGAUAAUGACGGUAUCUAACGAAUAAGCACCGGCGAACUCCGUGCCAGCAGCCGCGGUAAUAAGGAGGGUGCAAGCGUUACUCGGAAUCACUGGGCGUAAAGAGGGCGUAGGCGGUAUUACAAGUCAGAGGUGAAAUCCUAUGGCUUAACCAUAGAACUGCAUUUGAAACUGUUAUUCUAGAGAAUGGGAGAGGUAGGUGGAAUUCUUGGUGUAGGGGUAAAAUCCGUAGAGAUCAAGAGGAAUACUCAGUGCGAAGGCGACCUGCUAGAACAUAACUGACGCUGAUGCGCGAAAGCGUGGGGAGCAAACAGGAUUAGAUACCCCUGUAGUC
rnacentral:rRNA from 1 species